rnacentral:rRNA from 1 species
UACGAAGGUCCCAAGCGUUAUCCGGAUUUAUUGGGUUUAAAGGGUGCGUAGGCGGCUUGAUAAGUCAGUGGUGAAAGCCUGUUGCUUAACACCAGAACUGCCAUUGAUACUGUCGAUCUUGAAUAUGUUUGAUGUGGGCGGAAUAUGACAUGUAGCGGUGAAAUGCUUAGAUAUGUCAUAGAACACCGAUUGCGAAGGCAGCUCACAAAGCCAUUAUUGACGCUGAGGCACGAAAGCGUGGGGAUCAAACAGG